rnacentral:rRNA from 1 species
AGUUAGAAAGGGCGCACGGUGGAUGCCUUGGCACUAGGAGCCGAUGAAGGACGGGACGAACACCGAUAUGCUUCGGGGAGCUGUAAGCAAGCUUUGAUCCGGAGAUUUCCGAAUGGGGAAACCCACCACUCGUAAUGGAGUGGUAUCCAUAUCUGAAUUCAUAGGAUAUGAGAAGGCAGACCCGGGGAACUGAAACACUAAGUACC